GCUGGGCGCGGUGGCCUGUGCCUAUAGUCCCAGCUAUUCGGGAGGCUGAGGCUGGAGGAUCUCUUGAGUCCAGGAGUUCUGGGCUGUAAUGCACUAUGCCGAUCAGGUGUCCUCAGUAAGUUUGGAAUCAAUAUGGUGACCUCCCGAGAGUGGGGGACCACCAGGUUGCCAAAGGAGGGGUGAACUGGCCCAGGUUGGAAACAGAGCAGGUCAAAACUCCCGUGCUGAUCAGUAGUGGGAUCGUGCCUGUGAAUAGCCACUGCACUCCAGCCUGGGCAAUAUAGCGAGACCCUGUCCCUU
rfam:Callithrix jacchus chromosome 10, whole genome shotgun sequence